AAAGGAAUUGACGGGGGCCCGCACAAGCAGCGGAGCAUGUGGUUUAAUUCGAAGCAACGCGAAGAACCUUACCUAGACUUGACAUCUCCUGAAUUACUCUUAAUCGAGGAAGUCCCUUCGGGGACAGGAAGACAGGUGGUGCAUGGUUGUCGUCAGCUCGUGUCGUGAGAUGUUGGGUUAAGUCCCGCAACGAGCGCAACCCUUAUUGUUAGUUGCUACCAUUUAGUUGAGCACUCUAGCGAGACUGCCCGGGUUAACCGGGAGGAAGGUGGGGAUGACGUCAAAUCAUCAUGCCCCUUAUGUCUAGGGCUACACACGUGCUACAAUGGCCAGUACAGUGAGAUGCAAACUCGUGAGAGGGAGCUAAACUACAAAACUGGUCUCAGUUCGGAUUGUAGGCUGAAACUCGCCUACAUGAAGCUGGAGUUGCUAGUAAUCGCGAAUCAGCAUGUCGCGGUGAAUACGUUCCCGGGCCUUGUACACACCGCCCGU
rnacentral:rRNA from 1 species